rnacentral:rRNA from 1 species
GUGCCAGCCGCCGCGGUAAAACGUAGGAGGCGAGCGUUAUCCGGAUUCAUUGGGCGUAAAGCGUGCGUAGGCGGUUGGGUAAGUCGGACGUGAAAGCCCCUGGCUCAACUGGGGGAGGUCGUUCGAUACUGCUUGGCUUGAGGAUGAGAGAGGAAAGCGGAAUUCCCGGUGUAGCGGUGGAAUGCGUAGAGAUCGGGAGGAACACCAGUGGCGAAAGCGGCUUUCUGGCUCAUUUCUGACGCUGAGUGCACGAAAGCGUGGGGAGCAAACGGGAUUAGAAACCCCGGUAGUCC